rnacentral:rRNA from 1 species
ACGCACGCUGGCGGCGUGCUUAACACCUGCCAGUCGAACGGUGACGGCGGAGCUUGCUCCUCCUGAUCAGUGGCGAACGGGUGAGUAACACGUGAGCAAUCUGCCCCUGACUCUGGGAUAACUGCGGGAAACUGUAGCUAAUACCGGAUACGACGCGCGAAGGCAUCUUCUGCGCGUGGAAAGAAUUUCGAUCAGGGAUGAGCUCGCGGCCUAUCAGCUUGUUGGUGAGGUAAUGGCUCACCAAGGCUACGACGGGUAGCCGGCCUGAGAGGGUGACCGGCCACACUGGGACUGAGACACGGCCCAGACUCCUACGGGAGGCAGCAGUGGGGAAUAUUGCACAAUGGGCGCAAGCCUGAUGCAGCAACGCCGCGUGAGGGAAGACGGCCUUCGGGUUGUAAACCUCUCUUGGCAGGGAAGAAGCGAAAGUGACGGUACCUGCAGAAAAAGCUCCGGCUAACUACGUG